rnacentral:rRNA from 1 species
AUCUAAGGCCAUGCUACCCUGAACAAACCCGAUCCCAUCUGAUCUCAGAAGCUAAGCAGGGUUGGGGCUGGUUAGUACUUUAAUGGGAGACCAUCUAAGAAGACCAGGUUCUGUAGGUG